AAAGGUCCGCCGCGUGAGGAGCGGCCUACACGAUAUUAGCUUAGUUGGGUAGGGUAAGUGGCCCUACCGAAGGCUACGAUGUCGUAGGGGGUGUGAGAGCAUCGGCCCCCACGACCGGAACUGAGAUACUGUCCGGACACCUACGGGUGGCUGCAGUCGAGAAUCUUCCGCAAUGGACGAAAGUCUGACGGAGCGACGCCGCGUGCGGGAUGAAGGCCCUUGGGUUGUAAACCGCUGUCAGAGGGGAUGAAAUCUUCGGAGGUGCUCCUCCAAAGUUGACAGAGCCUCAAAGGAAGCACGGGCUAAGUACGUG
rnacentral:rRNA from 1 species